rnacentral:rRNA from 1 species
UACGGAGGAUGCAAGCGUUAUCCGGAAUUAUUGGGCGUAAAGCGUCCGCAGGUGGUUUAUCAAGUCUGCUGUCAAAGCGCGAGGCUUAACUUCGUAAAGGCAGUGGAAACUGAUAGACUGGAGUGCGGUAGGGGCAGAGGGAAUUCCCAGUGUAGCGGUGAAAUGCGUAGAGAUCCGGAGGAACCCCAGAGGCGAAGGCGGUGCCCUGGCUCGCAACUGACGCUCAGACACGACAGCAUGGGGAGCGAACCGG